ensembl:scaRNA small Cajal body-specific RNA 7
UAGAAAUGAUGAAAUGGAGGUCAUGUGUGGUAAUGUGUGUAUAUUUGCUGGAGGGUAGGGGGGAGAAUGGAGGCUAUUUUAAAUUAAAAGGUGUGUGUGUGUGUGUGUGUGUGUGCAUGCAGAAGUUAUAUAAUGAUGCAGAUUGUGAGCACUGAAAGAAACUGCUGAUUCCGGAGUGCAUCUGAGGCACUGUUGCUAAAUUAUGGGUUUUUUCCUGCAAAGUUGCCAAUGAUUAGAACCCGAAAUAGGCUCACAGUUUGCAUCUAGGCAGUCUUAACCUCUAACAGGUUCAUUUUGUCAUACAAAGGAACUUGUGAUCUGAUCUAA